AUGCUUGCCUUGGAGCUUAGCUAUGGCUUUCUCCCUUUCCAUUUGCAACGGUGUUUUUCCUAUUCUGCAUUAUUUCCUGAAGAUUACCGUUUCAGAAGCCGUGAGCUCAUCAGCCUAUGGAUCGGACUAGAUAUUUUGACACCUUCUGAUCAAAACCCAACCUUUGAAGGCAUAGGUCUGAGCAUUUUGAAUGAUUUAGUCAUCCAUGGAUUUUUCAGAGAAUAUAAAACUGAUGGUGGUCUGCGGUAUGUUAUGCAUGACCUACUGCAUGAGUUGGCAUUGAAGGUUGCAUCACAUGACUGUCUUCGUUUUCGUCUGCCCGAUGUUGGAUCGGUAGAAAUUAAGCCAUCCACCCGACACUUGUCUAUAAGCAUAGAGAACUUGGGUGAAUAUAAUGGUAAAAAAUUAAAGAGGGAAUUGGAAAAACUGAAGACAAGAUUGAAGGUUGAACAUUUGCAAACACUGAUGUUAUUUGGAGCAAUGGAUGAAGGUUCUACUAAGAUAUUUGGUGAUUUUCUCGGGGAAGCAAAUGCUCUUCGUGUUCUUUAUUUGCCCCUCCUGAAGUAUCCUGUGGAGUCCAUGGUACAUCAUUUUUCAGGACUUGUGCACCUACGAUUCCUAUGUAUAGGGUGUUUACCAAUUAACAUCUCUAAAUUUUAUCAUUUAAGGGUUCUAGAACUUAAGUCAUGGUCUAGCAGUGGUCAUUUUCCUGAAGACACGAGCAAUCUUGCAAAAUUGUGCCAUUAUUAUACCCCAAGAGAUGAUAAGCUUCAUUAUGAUAUUUGUAAUGUGGGAAAACUUCAGCUCUUGGAAAAGUUGAAGGUAUUUCGGGUCAAUAAAAAAAGUGAAGGAUUUGAACCAAAGCAACUAGAGCCAUUGACCAAGCUAUGGGAGCUUGGAAUCUACAACCUUGAGAAAAUACAUACAAAAAAAGAAGCAGCUCAAGCAAAACUGAUUGGGAAAAAAUACUUCAGGAGGUUAACAUUGGAUUGGGAUAGUAAGCGAUCUAGCGAUGAGCCUGGUGUGGAAGCAAUGGUUCUUGAGUGCCUUCGACCACAUGAAAAUCUUGAAGUGUUGUGCAUUAGAGGGCACAGAGGCCCCACUUGUCCAACAUGGCUGGGUGAUGAGCUUGCUGUUGAAGCUCUACAAUCUCUUCGUCUUGAUGGUGUUUCUUGGAAGGUUUUCCCUUCUUUACGGAACAUGGGGGAUCUUUGUGAGCUUGAGAUACAAGACUGCCCAGAAUUCUCGUCCGUGAUUCCCACCUCCUGGAUUGAGAGUUUGCGUCGCGUCACGAUUGAAUGUGUCAAGCUACGAAAGAGGUUUGCAUACUCAAAAUCAUCACAUGGAGCACAACUGGAAAUCAUUGGAUGGGGUGAUAUGCAAAGCUUAGACCAAGUGUUAGUUCUCGAUAAAGAAACAGGUCUUGAGAAGCUGACACUUGAGAGAUUCCCACCUUUGGAGUUGAAGCACCUUCUGAUGCUAACCUCGCCGAAGACACUGAUUCUAAGGCAUUCAGCUGGUCUGGCUGGUCCACUAGGAGGAGGUCAGGGUGAUGUGGAAUGGCAGCUCCCUGUUGAGCACAUGGAGAUGUGCCACUUGAAUGGUAAUAGUUGGAAUGAAUUGACAGAGCUCUUCCCACACCUCCCAAAGCUCUCCAAAUUGGAGAUACGGGAUUGUAAAAACCUAAAACAGCUGGUAGUACGGGUAGAUCUGCGACAAACAGCAUCAGAGAUGGGGGUGAUGGAGUGCUGCUCUUCCCAGCUCAUCUCUGUAGAAAUUGAAGUUCCUUUCCUGCCCAGAGCUGGUCCUGGUGGAGGAUGGCUCCAAGCCUUGCGAUCCCUCCAGAGAUUAAGCAUAAAGUAUUGCCCAAAGUUUCUAUCCGCCUUCUCGUUUUCCACUCACAUUUUCCCUUCCUCCCUGCAAUUCCUGGAGCUUACGAAAUUAGAAGGGAUGGGGACACUAGAGCCUCUCUCAAACCUUUCUUCUCUUACCAGAUUAGUAUUGGAAUUUUGUGGAAAGGACCUGAAAUGUCAGGGACUGCAGUCUCUCCUUACCGCCGCCGGCCAGCUCAAGGAAUUGGAAGUCAGGGGCAGCCAUAGAUUCUUUGCUAAUUGGGAUCCAAAUCCCAGACGGGCUUCCGAGGGUGUUGAAGGAGGAGAAGAGCAGCCAACACAGGUUGUUUCGUCCACGCUGCGGAAGCUUUGCACAGACGAUGCAGCAGGACUCCUUGCUGCACCCAUCUGCAGCUUCCUUUCUUCCUCUCUCACCAAGCUGAAACUUCAUGGGUACGGGCCUGAAGGGAUGGAGCGCUUCAGCAAGCAGCAAGAGGACGCCCUUCCGCUCCUCUCCUCCCUCCAGAAACUUGAGUUUAGGCAUUUCCACCAUCUUCAGCAAAUCCCUGCUCUGCCGUCUCGUCAUUGCCCAGCGAUGGCCUCCACAAGUCACUGGAAAAGCUAG
rnacentral:rRNA from 1 species